CCCUACUUGCUAGUUACCAUCAUUAAGUUGGGGACGUCUAGCGAGACUGCCAGUGAUAAACUGGAGGAAGGUGGGGGAUGACGUCAAAUCAUCAUGCCCCUUAUGACCUGGGCUACAAACGUGAUACAAUGGCUGGAACAAAGGGAUGCGAAGCAGUGAUGUGGAGCGAAACCCAUAAAAACAGUCUCAGUUCGGAUUGAAGUCUGCAACUCGACUUCAUGAAGUCGGAAUCGCUAGUAAUCGCGGAUCAGAACGCCGCGGUGAAUACGUUCUCGGGGUUU
rnacentral:rRNA from 1 species